CACAGCAAAACAAGCUUAAUUUGAUUCAUACCCUUAGGAAGAAAAAGAAAAAGCCUAAGAUUACUCACAUGGCUGUGGCUGUGAUUCAGCUCUUGGCUUCUACCACCUCCUCCUCCUGCCUUUCUCCCACCCUGCCCACUCCCAUAUUCACUCCCACCCAGUGGCAUUGCCAUCAAAAAACCGAGUCAGUUUGUUCUUUAAAAUGGGUGGGGAAAGAAGAAAACUAAUAAAACCUUUUCUGAGCGAAGUAUACUGCUUAGACCUGAAAUUGUUGCAGGAAGACAGGGCAAAGUGGCUGCUUAUAUAACACGAAAAGCAUGGCAUAGAGGCAAGUUCUCAUGAAGAAAUGCUCAGAUAGUCUUAUAUAAGUCUAAAUGGUUUAUGAGCAUGUCUGUAGAGGCAUAUACCUAGCCACAUAGGCAGGUUUCUGUUAAGAUUUUCUAGUACUGGGAAUCUCACAUGUACUGUUGUGCAAAACUAAUCUUCUGAUCCAAAUAUAUAGUUCGUUAUAAUCACAAAGUGAAUCUAGAGGCUGUCCAAAGAUAAUUGAUCAUGUAAAACAUGAGUGAUAAAAAGGAUUAUAUUGAUUAACAGAAGCUUUGUCAGCCUUCAAAUGAACAAUGUGACUUGGAAGCCUAAGAUUGUUGUCCCCUCACCCCCAGAAGUUGGAAGGUUGGUACUGGCAUGGCAACUCUCCCUUAGUGAGCUGAUUGUGGUAGCAAACAGUAUUGAGGCAGCGAUUUCUGUUUCUUCCGUAUAUUUUCUCAUUUAUUCCCUUUGUUCAGGUGAAAUAAAAGCCUUAGUGAAAUGAAGUGACUUUCCCAAGUCCUCUGGGUAAUAGCCCCAGAGCCAGUAUUGGAACCCAGGCUUCUGCAUCCUGACCUGUAGUUCUGGUAUGUGGGAACCCAACACAGUUGGAUCAUUUGGUAUCUUAGUGAUUGCCUGGGGACUGGAGUAGUAGCCGAGAGGAAGGUCUGUGCUGGAGCUUCAAACCUCCCUUUAAUUGAACGGUGGAAUGAGGUCUGUGCAUCUUGGAACCAAGCUGUCACGUGCUGGUGAGUGGAAUCAAGCCUUCCCUCAAAAACUCAUUUGUAAUCCUCACCACCACCUCUCCAUUUUGCUGGCUCCCCCUAUCCCCCAUUAUGUCACCAUCUGUCUCAGAAACAUUGCUGGGAUAAAGACAAGUUGGAACAGUUGCCCGCCCUCAAACAAAACAUCGAAUUAUUUCCCUUAUCCCCCAGAGCAGUGCCGAGCACCAUCUUUAUAAGGACUCCCAUGUUUAUAAAGUUUGCUUGUGCCUCAGAGACGUUUGGUUACUGUCCUUCUAAUCAUUCUUCAAGUAUGCUAUAUAUGCUGGCUGGAAACUAUUAGCUUUUGUUACUGAAGGGUUUGUGGGAUGCUUGAAUUUCUUCAUACAGUUUUCAGAUGGAAAUCCAUGUAGUUUUCUCUUUUAAGAAAUGAAAUUUCUUAAUGAAAGACAGCAUAGAAGAGAAUGCAUACUGAGGUUUCUUUUUGUAACCCCUACUCCAUGGUUUUUCCCUUAGGGGAACUAUGGUGGAGUUUUAUGUCAUGACCCUGUAGAGAGAAUAAACAGUGGAUCUAAGGUACUCUUUGCUGAGUCUGAAGCCACUACCUUGUGCCUCUGUUUGGGGGUACCUUGUUGAUGCCAAGAGUAGCACCCUGCCCCAGACAGGGCUAUAGUGUUUCCCCCUGUCUUUGACCCAUUCACCUUUCCUGUCUUGACCCAUCUGGCCAACUGGAAUGGAAAUUUUUCUUGAAUGUCCUCCCUGACUGGCCCUGGCCCAAUUCUGCCCUGGCUUUUGGAAAUUCCAAGAAGUUUGGACAGAAAGCCCAGACAGAUGUCAAAUGUAGAACCAGACGAAUAUGUAAACUAUUGAAACUUUGGGAGGAAAAUACAGAUUGGCUAGGUGUUUGUCAUCAUUAGUAAAAUAGUUACAAGUGAUUAUUUUUUAAAAAGUAAUGGAAUUACAUUUUUCUCUUGUAGAAAUGUUAUUUAAGGGGUUGACUAAGGUGUGUAUUACUCUAAAACGAUGGUGCAAAGAGCAGUUAAAAGGGUAAAGAUUGGAUAAUCAUAAUGGAAUAGCCACCCCUUAUAUAGUGCUUACUAUCUGUCAAGCAGACACUGUCCUCAGCACUUAAAUAUGCAUAUGUUAGACUUUAAUCCAGGUGCCACAGCUAGGAAUGGCAGAGCCAGGUUCAAAUCCCAGCAAAUCUGGCUUCAGGCUCUUAAAAUCUGUUAUGGAUUCUUUUAGAAGCCAAAGUUUUUGGUGUUUGAUUUUAACAUUCUGUCUUCACAGUCUGUGUUUAUUUCCAUUGAAAGCCAUACAUUUAAGGAUUUUUUUGUUCUCUACAUAUAUGAAAGUAACUUUCUUUAAGCCAAUAAAAUUUUACUUAAAAAAUGUUGGUGGCUAGAUUAAUACAUCCCUGUUGAAGUAUGAAUACAUUUUAAUAACUGAAAAAUACGUGCACAUAGUUAAAAUAGAGAGGCUUCAAAAGUGUAAUUUGGAAACAGUUCUAAGUUGUUUUAUGUGAAAUUUAAUUUCUGAAAACCAACUCCAUAUGUAAAUUUAGUGUGAGGGUUUAUUCCAGUAAAACCCUAAAGGGAAUUUUCUGACUAUUAACUUUUGUGAAGUAAAUAGUCAGUCCUAAAUUAGCCAUUUUUUACUGUUUCUUUAUGCCUUUUCUCUGUCUCAUCUACCAACUUGAAAAUGAGAUAUUUGAACAUUUUUAUAUAUUGCUGAAAUAGAAUGUAUUUUCUCUAUUAUAGCAAAUUAGUUAUCUAUCAAGGCAUAAUGACCAAGAAAUGUCAAGCCUUGGUUUGAACAGUGGCCGACUUUGCUCAAGGUUAAAGGAAGUAUGCUGAAAAGAUAUAACUGUGGUUAAACUGCUCAGAACGAACCUUCCAGAUUUUUUGUGUGAGCAAUUGGACUUCUUAUUACUGCAUUCUUCCUGCCUGCGUAAUACCUGGGGACAAUUUAUUCCAUGUAAUGCCACCCCCCCCUCUUGGUAGUAAACUUUUUACUGAAGAAGAAGGCUGUUAGGCAUGCCAAUUUAUUUAGCUGGAAUUUUCCCAGAUGAUAUUUUAUGGUUUUUAAGUGUUUUUUUUUUUGCAGCUUUUAGGCAGGUUGGGAUUAAAGGACUGUACAGAUUUGUGUGUGUGUGUGUGAUAUGGUUGAAAUGUGUGUGUGUUUGUGUGAAUAGCUCAGGUUAGAAGGUGAAUUGCAGUAAAUGCAAAAGUGAAAGGUUCAGCAUGCUCCCAACCACUUCCUGAAGAACCUGUCACAUGGGCCCAUGGCCCCUGAUUUAGGACUUAAAUUUGGGUCCUCAGGAAGGAAAGAGUCUGAGGCCCCCAUAGUAAAAGCCUCUAAUAGACCUAAAUGUGUAACACCUGUUUACUGCUGUUAUGUGAACUCAAAUGUUUGCUUAACUCAAUUGUAAAAUUUUCAGUGAAUAAUUAUGAAGUUUUAAAAAUGGGGGAAUAGAGCCAGAGCCUUACUGAACCUUAAAAAUCAUCUUGGCAAUUUUCUCGCUUAUGUGAUUCAGUUCUUUAAAACCGUUUGAAACGUAUUCUGAUCUUGAAAUGUACAAGUUAUAAAAGAAAAAUGUGAGCUUGUCAGAUUAACUGCAGUCACCAGUCUAAUAAAACUGAGUCACAUCCAAAUGGGCUGCACUUAUGCUCCCCUCCCAUUCUAGGGAAAAUGUGGCUGGGGGAGGCAGUCUGAGUCAUCACCUGGUUUGUUUGACAUACGCUUCCUUCCAUAAAUUGGGAAUGGCAAGCAGCACAGUGUUGCCGGCUUGCUUGGGAGAAGGAGCUGUUGUUACAGCCUUGCAUGAUCUAAAUAGGGCCUUUAGGUUUGAAGGAUGAAACUGAGCGGAUAUUUUAGCUUUAGAUAUCGGGGGAGGGGGAGAAACCGAUCGAGCCAAACAAAGAACAUUUGUAAGUACCAUUUUGUGGGGUCAAAGAAAUGAUAGAGGGUAUUCAGAGUUGAAUUUUUCCUAGGACAUAAAAUAUAUUUAAGAAAAUUGGAGGUAUUAAAAAUAAAUAAAUUGGUAGCUAGUUCCCUAAAUGGCAUGGGGUGGGGUCUGAUUUUCUUCACAAGAAUGUUCUUGAUGUGAAUAUUCUAAAACGAUUCCAUGAGGAGGAGAGGGAGAGAUGGAGGGCGGGGAACGUGUGAUUUGGUAGUUACCAAACAAUUUUGUCCCGAUGGUGUUUAAUUUUGCCUGAUUUAUCCAGUUGUUUUGAAGGAAAUAUAUUUUGUUUAAGAAACUUUUCCAUGGCAAACUUUGAAUCUGCCUUAGGGGUAUUUAGAGGGGCUGGGAAGAGAAGGGGGCUCGUAUGUCUCACACAUUCUCUGAUCAUGGCUUUGCAGAGGCUCACUGUAGCUUUUAAAAAUAAGUUUAGAAUGUAAGACUAUUGAGGAGACUACAGAGGAAGGGAAAGGAGGUAUAUAUUUAUAGCUGAAAUGGGUUUGUAAAAUGCAGCCUCUGCUUUGUGAUUGAUUUUUGAUAUGUGCCAGGCAUUCCUCUCAUUUCCAUCCUGGCUUGGUUGUGGCUUUUCUCUGUCUGUGUGAGGCUCGGGUGUUCCCUGUUUUAAAGCUGGAGUUGUCACAGCCUGGGCGUUUUCUGUUUCAGCUUACAGCUUUUUUUUUCUCUUUUCCUGAAUGAGUGUCCUUUGUGUAACCCCAGUAAUUCAGAAAUCCUGCAGUCAUAGGGACUGCCCUGUCAUGUGACUUAGGUACUAGGUGCUGCCUGCGAUUGGUCAGCCCUUAUUGGCGGGUCCCUAUAAGAGGUCCUGCUUCAGCCAUCCAGCCACUCUCCUGCCUGGGCUGCAGCUCAACAGGCAGAGGAGGGGGGCCUGUGGGUGUCCGCUGAUUCAGCCACGUGUGAUAGAUGACCAGGUGACUGCUUCCUUGGGGUCUGUACAUCAGUAGAAGAUACUCCAACUGGUUGUGGCUGACACGAUCAAACUCUCGCUCCCAGAACGGGGAAAAGUGCCUCGUGUGAUCUGGAACAAAGACAUUUCAUAAUCAGAUUUAUCAAGCGGUGAAGAGGGAGUUUAACCGAACAGAAGCAGCAGCAUUCUGUCACUGGGAAAUACUGCUUUAUCCAGAAUUGGUGAGUGAAAAGUGGCAUUGCUCCCUAAUAGAUAUCAUAUGGCGUGUGUGGGAAUUGUAAAAUUGCUCACAGACCCCUAACAACUGUGUGGAACCAGAGAACACAUAAACAGAGUGAGGAAUUCCUAAGAAGGAGCAGCCCAGGAAUAUAGCAUAAAGGCUGAGAAGAGACCAGGUAAUUAACAAAGAUGAGCUGAGCAUUACCAGUUUAGCUUAAUGUAUGUAAUACAAUUAAUUGGCUUAUUUUUUCCUUUUUCUUUUUAGAGGGGCAAGCAAAUGAAAACGGGUUGUUUGGUAGAGUUGUGGCAUUAACAUUCCACGAACAUAGAGUUCCAUUUAGUCUGACUAGUAUGUAUGACACUGGGAGGGAUGCUUUCCGAAUUAGUCAGCUUGCCUUCCUUUCUCUCCCUCUACCCCAGGAUGUCAAGUGUUUAGUUAGAACUCUACAAAACGAAAAUUUAAGUAAUGUGUUGGAAACAUUUUCUACUGAUUAUGAAGGGCAGAUUAAGAUGGUAAUAGUUUUCUUUACAUUUGUGUUGUGAGUUUUAAGAUUGUUGUAUGUGAUUACAUUAGUACAGCACAAGGGUAAUUUGUAUAUAUGGUCUGUGAUGUUUGGGGGAGAUUGAUUAGCAGUUCUUACUGGUAUGUGGCUGUGUCUGUCUUGCUCUGAAACCUUAAAUUCAGUUUUCUAAUCUUGAAUCUGAGCUGCCCUUAUGUUUAGGGCAGCUAAACAUAGAGCCCCUAUAUUUCUUGUAUUUCCAGAAAAAUAUAAUGAAGCUCUGGAUACCAGUGUUAUAUACAAUAGGUUUUUAUUCAUGAGCUUUAAGGGAACACAAUUUUGUAUUAGGCAUGAAUGUCUGAUUUCUUGAUUUGGUUUCUUAAGAAUGAUUAUGCCAGAGAAGCUGAAUAGAGUAAGAAAAGAAAAUUAGGAUGGUGGGUGGCUGGCUACUUGAUUUUUAUGUUUCUUAUUGGAACUAAUACAGUUAGUGAUUAAUUCCAACUUACUGGAAUUAAUGUAGACUCAGAUGGAAAAAUAUUUUGUUCUUUAACUGCUAACAGUUAUAUAGGCAAUUUUGGUGAUCUCCAUUUAUAAAUGUGAAUAUAUAUAAUUAAAACUGAUAGAAUACUAUUCAUUUCUUCUUGAGCACCUUAAGCCAAAUUGGAAGUUGAAUCUGCAUUUCUGACUUUUGGUUCCUAUUCUGUUAUUUUUGAAAUCUUAAAAUCCUUAACUUGAAAGUGAAAAGCGUAUAAUAAAAAACAAGAUGGCAAUGCUGUAAUUUCUCUCUGUUGUCACUAGAGUGGGAUGACGGUGGAAGGGAAGAAGAUGAACCUAGUGGGAUUAUUAAAUGGUCUUUUUUUUUUCUUAGAUAUUUUGAGAACUUUAAAGAUCCAUUUUUCUCAGACUGGUAGUUCUUAAGACUUCUGUAUAGAUAUUUAUUUUCAAAGAAACAUAUAAAAAGCAAGGUAAGCAUGGCAGUUCAGGGCAGGUCCUGCAGUAAAUCAGACUGGUGAUCCAAACGUGUGAAUGUUACAGGUGAUUUGACUUAGUUAAGGUAUGACUGAGGAUGUAGGAACAUGCUACUUAUUUCCAUGAAGCACAGGAAUUUAUAGGUUUUAGAAUCUUGAAGACAGAAAAUGGUGAUAAAGCAUUAAGACACAGGUAAUUUAUAUCUGCUAACUCGUGUUCAGUGAGUCACAAUUAUUUUCAGCUCUAUUUCAUGUAAAUUGGCAAAACAUGAUGAUUUGAUAAUCCAGCUACAUACUACCAGAAAAUGGAAAAACGCCUCUAUGUAAUUUUUAGGUUUUACUUUUCUAUUUACAAGCCAUUGUUUUGAAUGACCAAAGUAUGAUAGACGCAGGCUGAAACAAUAAAGCUAGAAAAUAAACUCUAAAAGUUCUUUUGGAGCUUCAUGUUUUUAAUGCUAUUUGCUCUUCUCUUAUUAAUUUAUUAACUUUUAAUAAUAUGUGUAAAACAAAUGACAUAGCAUUGCUCUGAAUUCUCCACUGGGGUUAUUGAGAGUAUUAAUAUUUUAUAUGCUGUUAAUUACAUGCUUUUAAAAGAUGUUAGUAGUACACACAUGUCUUUGUCUUUGUGGGUAUGUGAAGUUACAAACUGAAGGGACUUGGGUCAAGUGACAGACCUCAUUUGAUAUUUGCUUAUUUGGGGAUAUAAACACUUUUGUUUUUUAUAUGUUUUGGGUUUGUUUCUUGCAUUUUAGGUGUUAGGUGUGGCAUACAGUUUUGCCCAAUUAAGUUUUUUGAGGUAUGUAUAUGCAUGCAUGUAUGGAUAUAUUUGAUUGAAAGGGGGAGCUUUAAUUGCUAGUGAAACAAGUGGCUGUUAGAACCGACAUAAGCCUCAUGGGGUGUUCCUAUGACAACUGAGGGUUUGGAUAUUGAAAUGUAGCUUUAAGUUCUCAAUUUGGAAAUGUCAUUCAGACCUCCCACUAUAGUCUCAUUGAUUAGGAGGAUAAUAAGGAGGGGGGAAAGCCGUGAAGCAAUAUAAGUAUCUCCUUGCAUUUCAUGUCUUCCUGACUUGGCUUUGUGUACAGAUCGCCAUGGGAGUGGUAAACAUAGGUUUUGAACAAAGCAAUACUUCAGUAUAAAAAUCAGUGGAAAGAGGUCAGAAUAGUUGGGGAAGAUAAAUAACAACAUAUGGGGGUAAUAAAGAGGUGGGGGAAAUCAGCUUCCAUGGGUUUGUACAAACCUUUAUCUACUGCUGACCAGCAGUGAGAACAUCUUGAAUCAGUUAAUGGAUAGCUCUUUAAGAGUUGCAAGUAUUUCCUCAAAAUGCAAUGUGGAGAAAAUUCCUUUGGUCACAGGAUACUUUACCACUUUGGCAUGACAUUUAUUCAUCUCCCCUAGGCUGACUACAGAGAAUACUGUAUUCUUUUAAUGUACAUGUUAUUAAGUCAAUUAUUUCUCAUUUAAUAGCUUGCCUUUUUUCUAUAGAAAAGAUAAAGUUGUACUAUUAAAAUAGUGGUGAAACUUUAGUAUUUUACCCUAUAUUCAAAAAUUUGAAAAACUCUUCCAUAUUGUUUGAGACCUGUUGUUUGUGGAAGUGAAUUGACUGACUGAGAAUGUGAUGGCAUACUGUAUUUGGCAGGGAGGGACUGUUUAGGUAAUAAUUGAUUUAGAUUAAUUAUACAGUUGUUGAUUUUCCAUGUUUAAAGGCUUCCUAUUUUCUACUCCCAAAUGGUUUUGGCUCUUUGGUCAUUAGCACAUCCAGCAGCUAGAAAGGAAAAAGAAAACUUAAAAUGGAUUUUCUCCUUACGUAAUAUAUAGGUCCACCAUCUCUUCUGAAAUCCAUCCAGCUCUGAAAACCAAAAGAUUUUCAUGUAAAAAGUUUGGCAGCAAAUCCUGACCUGAAAGGAUGUGAGGCUAUUUAUAGUCUUUAUCUAUCCCACUUACUAUGAAUGUUUGUGUUUAUUUACUAUGUUUUACUGUAGGAAUAUUGAUGUGUUUGAUCAUGAAACACUACACCAGAUCUCUUUCUGCCCCACCCCUCUCCCGUUGGAGUUUUAUAUAGAUAGAAUAGUCAUCAUAUUAUCUUUUUAAAACUAUCAUCAUCAUCAUAAUCACUCUGAGUGUCAGGUAAGGGUUUGUGGACAUCUGAUUACUGACACACACUGAAUUUGUACAAUAUGCCAGGCACUGCUCUAAGUUAAUCAUUUGCUUCUAUAACAGUGCCUGGCACAUAGUAGAUACUCUGUAGAUGUAUUUUGGUUUAAAAUGCUUUACAUAUAUUAAUUUAUUUAAUCCUCUGCAGACUGCAUAUGGCCAACAUGAUUGUUAUCCCCAUUUUACUGGGGAAACUGAUACACAGAGAGGUGCAGCAACUUGCCUAGAAUGACACAGCCAGGAAUUAGUAGAGCCAAGAGUUGAAAACAGGCAGCCUGGCUGCAAUGUGCUCUUAGUGAGUCCACUUCAGGUAUGAGAGUGGCCUGGGGUUGUGGCACUGGAACUCUUGACUGAAUCAGAAGGGCAUUUUGGUUGUUUACUGUCUUCCUAGUCACCCUGUUCCUGGUGUCAUCAGAAGCAGAUGGCAUCGGUGCCGCGGUCAUUACCAGGUGCCUGCUAUGGAAUGCUUAUAACAGGGUCUCCUGGGUGGGAGUGUGGGAGUUCCAGGGAUCGGAGAGUCUCUUAAUCUCUUUACAGGCUUCCCAGCAUUGAUCUCCAUCAGCAGUCAGCCUGACUUGUUUCUCUUGAAAACUUAAGACACACUGAAUAACUCUUUCCUUAGCCCCAAGGAAAUUAUCUUGAAUAGUGGAAAAAGUCUUCUCAUAGAUCUUUUCUGGGCCCUUAACUCAGCAGGAGGUCUGGGCUCUGUGGAGGGCUUGGAUCACUUCGGAGGGGAUGAGCUCCCUGGCCGGGGAGCCACAUGGGAAGAAAGCAAGGGCCCCUUGGGGAAAAUCAGGCAGCCUAUGGAAUUCCAGCUGCAUGACUGAAUCCAUAAAAGGAUACUUUUAACAGUACUUUCCAAGAAAGUCAUCUAUAAGGUGUCUCUCCAGUACCAGUAUGUUUCCAGAAAUAAAUUCAUUCCAAGUUGAUGGCAGCUUUGCCCUUUUACUUCUCAAAUUCCCCAUCCUUCUACCCUGCUCAAUUUUUCUUCUUUGCACUUAAUUUCUGUCAGACAUAAUGUAUGUCUUAUUUAUUUGUUUGGCAUUGUAGUUGAACACUAGCAGUUAAUGUUGUCUUUGAACACAUUUAAAGGUCCUAGUUUUAUUUCUCUUUCAUCUCCGUCUUCAAACUCAUUCCCUCCUAUCACUGUCAGAUGGCUAUAAAAAUGAAAUUUUUUCUGUCCAUUAGAUUUUUCUUAGUAUUAGUUGCCAUCUUUAUAUUCACAGCCAUGAGAAUUUCUUUUCUUUAAAAUUGUUUUGAUAGUGCAGUCAGAAUUGGAGAGCUGACAUUUUUCAUUCAGGAGAGGAAAUGGAGCCAAAUUUGAAUAAAAUCAUUGAGUAUUUUUAAAGCCAAGAUGAUCUUAAAUUACUAAGGGGAACAUUCAGAGUGAAAUACUUCUAUGUUUUAUGAGCUAGCUUCGAUUUAGAUAGGGAACUAUACAUAAACAUUUAUUCCAGUGAACACAUCUUAAACCUACCUACUUGCUACCCUUUUCCUUUGAAGAAGUUUAAAAAAUCAGUAUAGAACAAUUUUUCUACAUAGCACAUUAAAGAAUGUAAGUGAUUUAAUUGGGGACAUUUCCUGGCUCAAGUUCUGAGAUUCUCAACUGUAACCUAUUGUCUUUCAAUCCUAUAUUUAUUGCAGUUUAUACAUUCCGAAGUAAUUAGGAUAAUCUAAAUUAAAAUAAAAUAAUAUGUAUACAUAUAUUAUUAACUGUGAAUGAUGUGGUAAAUACGUCCUUAGAACACUUUCAUAGUUGAUUUUUUCCCUCUGAAUUAAUUCUUAAAGGAACAGUAGAUGCAUAUACAUGUUGAAUAUGAUGUGCUUUUGUAAGUCAAUAUAAUAAUUGAGACAUUUUGUUAUUUUUAGCUAUAGUUUAAUAGCAAAAUAGUUUCUAUUUGCUUUCUUUUUCAGGGGUCAAUAUAAUAAAUACCUUGCUUAAAAGUGAAGUGAAACUGGUUACUUUAAGGUAAAAGAUGGAGUCAUUGAUUAUGAAAGCAAGCUAAGGUUUCAUUUUAAAGGAUCUUCCCUUCUGCCUUGGAAGAGUUUAAUUCUCCUUAAGUACCUUUCUAUAGAAAGCCCAUGGCUGCUGCUGGUAUAGGAAGAAAGCUUAGUAUCCCCACCUUUCCUAAAAGCAGAUGCACAAAGACUUUUAAAGUGAAAACCCAUUUAUUUCUCUCAAUUAGGAUUUGUGUGAUACAUAUAAAGCGAGACUAGAGUUCUUAAGAAUGAGAGAAACUGAGUGAAUGUGUAGAAUUCUGAUUACCUGAAACAAAGUUAUCAAGCCUCCAGACAUUUUCCAGUGAGUACCAAGUCUGUAACAGUGGUUACCGUGGCCCCAAGGAGGUCCCUGUUCAGUAGCUUCCACUGAUGUGUUUGCUCCCUCAGAGGCCCAGGCUUUGGAAACAAGUAGGCUUAACACUUUUAGCUCACACUGCCCCUUACCUGUGGAGUAAGCUACUCCACUUACAGCCCUAAGUUCCAGAGAGUAGAGCAUUAGUUUUAGCCCACAGGGCUGUUGCUUGAAAUGAGACAGUGUGUGUGAAAGCAUGUGUGGGCCCUGGAGUAAUGGUGUGUAUCACACUGAGUUCCCUUCUCAGAUCCUUUACAGGAACAUUCUUCACUUUUGUCUCAAAGCCUAUGGAUCCACUCUGGGUUACAUGUCUUUUUUUUUCACGUCAGAUUAAGCAAAACAGUGGUGAUGAUGGUGGCUACCAUUUUCUGUGUACUUGCCAUGUUGUAGGCAGGCACUGUUGUAAGUUCCCUGUCCAGACUGAGCUGUUUAAUACUCUUAAGGACCCACACAUGCUUUUAUGCCCAUUUCAUAAAUGAGGACAAUAUGAUAUAGAGAGGUACAGGAGCAUUCUUACAGCCACUCAGCUGAUAAGCUGUGGAACCAGAAUCUAAAUCCAAAUAGGCUGUUGCUGGUACAGAUGGUAAGAGGCAGAAAAGCAGGAUACAAGUUGACUGAACUAGAAAGUGUCAAGAAUGGUCUUAUUUCUAUUCUGCAAAGUAUCACAUCUUCCAGGCCAGCCCUUGCAAUACUGAAAUACAAAAUUGACUUUUUCUGCUUCUUAUUUCACAAAUCAACAGGAACACUUUUAGUCACUUGUGUUCUAUGAUUUUAAUUAGGCCACUGAAGUCCGGGAGGGGAAUUCCUUGUUUUCAAUUGAUCUCAUGCACUAACAAACUUACUCAUGUAACUUCCCCUAUUUUUUUCUGUAAUGUUUUCACUUGAAAGUAGAGGUAGAAGAGAGAACUAUGUGAGCAUUUGGGUCCUGGGGAUGCACUUCCAUCAACCUUUCUGGAGAUGAUUUUAUCUGAUACAGAAUUAAUCUGUAGAAAAGUAAAAUGAGCAAGAAUGUAUAAUGACUAAUAUUUUUCUCCUUUAUCUCCAUCUAAUUCUGGGUGGCGUCUCGAGGAACAUAACUUCUAAGUAAAGGAUUACAAGAUGCCAUCUGCGUGCAUAAAACCCUAUGUUUGGAUGAGGAGCUGAUUUUCAGAAUGUGGGGAGGGGAUUUCAGAUUGAGAAUUUCUUCCCUUUUUAAAAAAAGUGUUGAGAAUUUGACUUACAGCGGUGAGAGCAGGCUACCCUACCUAGCCCAUGCAUUCAGAGUGCUUAGAAAUCUCUUUGAAAGAUCUCCUGACCUUGGACUGAGCCUGCCUGUAGGAGGAUAUACUAAUCAUGCCCUCCUUCAUUCUUUCAUUGGCCCAUUCAGUCCUUUAUUUAUCCAUAUGCUAUAUGUAACUCAGUCACCUACGUGGGGACAGAUGAAAGAAAGGACAGGGCGAAGGUCCAUUAGAGGAAGGAAGGGUAGUAACUACCAACUCACUCUUUAUUCUGUUCACCUUGAUGACUACAUUUUUUAUUUGAUCCUUUGCCAUUUUUGAGACAAGGCACAUUUCACAGACACAUUCAGUCUUUAAGCAUAUUCCUUUGGUAGCCAGGCUUCUUUUUUAAAGUAAGGGAAAGAAAAGGCUGGUGACAGGAAAAUAGUGUAGACAAAUGGUUUUUCUUCCUUUCUUUCUAUAAUGGUGGUUGGAAGAAGGGUUCAUAGUAGGGAGUGAGUCAGUACACUCAGUCUAGGAACUCAUGAGCUUUCAACUCAUUUCCAUUUAAAGAACAUUAAGGGACAACAAAGACCUCAACAAUGAUGUCUUAGAAAAUAAUUUUUAGCAAGAAUUGAAACCAAUUUGAAGGUAAAAAGUCCUCUGCCCUAGAUUAAAUUUAUUGUGCAUUUUGAAAAUCUCUCUAAGAUGUAAAAUAUGAGGGAUAACCUCUGUUUUGGAGAGAUGACAGAAAGGAGGGUUUAUACUAACACUUAAAAAGCAUAACUUGUCACCUUGCUGUAGCCAGGAAUGCUCUUCCAUGAGGCAGAGUCGUUUUCUUUACUUGUGAUUUAGUAGUGAUUUGAACCUGGGUGUCAUUUGCCAUAGUUUCUGAAAAACACACAACUUAACCAUUCAAGUUCUUUGUAAUGGCACAAACUGUGUGUGUUUUCUGAUACAGCUUUGACUAUUGCAACAAAGGCAAUGAAAAUGCUCUUAUCUUUCAGCAUGAAAUGCAAAGUCUUCAUCAAUAAUAGGUAUAUAUGGCCCAAUGGAAGGAAAUGUUAAUGUAGAUUUAAAAACAAAAUCACUCACAUUUAAUUAAAAAAUGGCUCCUAUCUCAGGGCUUCUCUCUGAGCAAGAUCAAAUCAGGACUGUUUGGGACAAGUUCGGUUGGUAAAGACAGUAAAUCUCUACUUCUUUCUCCAUCCUGUUUGACAUUCAUACCUGCUACCCAUGGAUAGCAUGGAAUUUUUCUUAAUGCUGGGGAAAUGAGCACUCUCCUACAGCUCCUGUCCAUCCGGACCUUGAAGUAUGGGGUGUUUUGGUAAGGUGUUAACAAAAAUGUCCCAGGUGCCAACUAGACCUCAUAAGCUUGUAGUAAAAAAAUUGACAAGGACGUCACAUGGGAAGUGUUCAUUUUACAAAAAUGUAUUUCACACCUACCACUUUCCAGAUGGUGUUCUCGUGCUGGGAAUACACCAGUGAGCAAGGUCCCUGCUCACAUGGAGGGAGGAGACUGACAAUGGUCAAACCAGUAAGUAAGUAUGUGCCAGGCAUUAGGUGUUGUAGAGAAAAUUAAAACCAGGUCAGACAGAUAGGGAGUGCCCAGGGGUCCAGGGAAGAGCUGCUUUAUCAAGGGCUGACAGAAAAGCCUCUCUGAUGUUGUGAUAUGUGUGCAGAUACUCACCUGUGGGAAAUGAGGGGCCAGCCACGAGGUAUAUGGGGGAAUAUGAUUCUAGGCAGAGAAAACAAAACCACUGCGGUGGAGGUGGGGGCAAGCUUGUUGUGUCCAAGGAACAGGAAAGAGGUUGGUGGGAACAGUGAGCAGGGGGAAAGUACUAGGUGAGCUCUGGGAGGUAGUGAAUGACAGGUCAUGGAGGGCCCUGUUAGCCAUAAUAAGAAGCUUCUGGAAGGUAGGGGAUGAUAACUAGAGAAGAAGGCUGGUGUUCCAAGGGUGAUUCUAUGUAGGGAUCCUGGAGAGGCCACCCUGUUGUGCCUCAUGACUGGAGUGUACACAGGUUGUGUAGGGCUUUCUUGUCAAUAAGAUGCUACUUUUUUAAUUUAAAUUACUGUGAUACAAAACUUUGCUAAAAAAAAGAUAUAAAGCUUAGCUGUCAACUCGUUAUCACCUAAGGAGCCAAAAGUAGGUGAUUCUUCCUGUCAUAUCUAUUGCUCAGAGAGGUGUGGGAUACUCAGGUGUCUAACAGUGGGAUGUUUCCAAUCCAUUUAUACUUGCCAAAAGCUUACUUCCCUGAUUUUACUCAGUAACAAAUAGAAUUUUGAACUGCAUGGUUUUUAAAGUAAUUCUGUGUUUUAAAAAAGUCUAUUUUCUUUUGGUAGCCCUUAGUUUUAUGUAUGUCAGUUGAUGAGUUUCCUUCUAUGAUUCCGAAAAUGAAAAUGUACUGUUUGAUACUGGUGAAAAAGUUGUGUUACACAGUACUUAUUUGACGAUUGGAGGCUGAAAGGAAACAUGGGAGAAUAAAAGUAGUUGGCCAGUUCAGAUGAGUGGGAUGGUAUCUACUUUUCUCUUCUAUAUUUGUGUCAAAAACAUUUUUGUUAUUUCUUAAUAAUAGAGUUGAUUGCUGUAAGUGGAUUGCAGCCCCCUAUCAAAGUCCUACCUUUUGUACAAGGUAUGUAUGAUUUCUGUAAUCUGGGAGCUUACAUGUUAAAAGGCAGGACAUCACGUGGCAAAAGAAAGAAAAUGUAUAUGCAUGUCCUUUUGUUGACGUUGGACUAUAACCAGGCCUGACAAUAGUCAGGGCUUAGUCAGGGGCUUGAUAGCUGUUUGUAGAUGUUGUCUGAGUUUAUCUUACUUCACACCACCUGAGACUUUAUAUCCACUUCUUGUCACCCAGCCUGAUUUUCCACUAGUUAGUUACACAUUUGGGCUAACAUUCAUAGUCUUUUAGCUAGCACCCACCUGCAGAGAGUUACUGGUUUUGUCAUUUAUAGUUCGGUUCAACUGGACCGGAUUUCCUCACUCCCUCUGGCUGAAAUUGACUGAGAGAAUGAGAGUUUCAUUGUGGGGAGGAGAAAUUAGUGAUUUGGGAACAGAGUGUUCUGUGGAGGAGGGUUGAGGGUGCGCCUUCCCAUCCUCCCCUAAGGUAGGACCUCUGCACUGAGAGAGACUGAGAGCUGGCAGAUCGUGAGGAAGCUGACCCUGUUGGAUGAUCCCCACCAGACGUAGAGAAAAGGAAGGAUGUAAGGUAGCCCCUAGGAACCAGUGAACCUCUGAUCUAAGCUCAGGUGUUCUUGGGCCAUUGCCUCUGUUCUUUCUGGUAUCCCUGACAUGAUGUCCAUUCCUGCUUAUCUUUUUGGAGAUGAGGGGCAUGCUCCUGACUUACUGAGGAAGGAAUUCAGGAAUGGACAUCCAAGAUGCCAUCUUCCCCAAAUCCUGCUGCACACAUCUCUCUCAACUGAAUCUACUUCCUAGGUGUAAUAGAGCUAGACAUGAAGGUCCCUUUCCCACCAGUCUCUGACUAGAAGAAAAUACGCAUUGCCCAUGAAGUGUUGUAUUCUGUUCCGUCCUUCCUCUGAGGCUGGUCAUGUCUGAUGGUCUCCUGGGGCAUGAGCCGUUUUGCCCCCUGCACCUUGGGAUUUCCCCCUGCUGCCCGGGUUCUAACACCUCGAUAUUUUUGCCUUUGCCUGGAGUCUAUUCUGGAACGAUUGUGUGGUGGCUGGGCACUGCAAAAUGAGUCAGUUCCUGCAGUUUGGUUACAAGUUCUCAAAAAGUAUUUCAGAAUGUGGAUGUGGUCAGCAGAGUCAUUUUCCAGGCAUCUUAAAGGAAACCCACAUCAACUGUAACAAUUGAGCUGCGAACCGAUGGCCCUGCAUGGCUGAGCAGGGUCUGCUUCUCAAAGGAAAGCCUGUAGCUGCCCUCGAAUCUAGCCUACUCUACAGAUCUUAAUGAGGAAUUGCUCUUCGUGCUUGCAAAUCACUUGUUUGCACAGACAAUGAGAUAACAGGUUUUGGCCUUUGUCCACUUUUUGAAUGUGGGCACAGUUUGACAUAAAUUAUUUUUGUAAAGUGGACUUUUAUGGGAUUUGAGUGUAAUUGGUAUGAAAUGUGAAAUGUGGCUGAGGGACAGAAACUUUGGUGAUUUUAGCUAACAUACUAAGGAAAGAACUAAGAUGAUUUUGGUCUCACUAGAGUAAUGAGAAUACGAUUAUUCUGUUUACUAAAGAAGUUCCUCACCUAUGUGGCCUUUGUAGCAAUAGUGAUAAAAGUAAUUAAAUACUUUUCAAGUUUGAAAGCGAUUUCGGGUUUGUCAUCAAACUGAGAGAAUAUUUUAGUUUAGCAUAGGUGUAUUUUGUAUCCUGUUGGAUAUCCAUGAAUUAUGUAAAAUUUCGGUUGAGUUCUUAGUUAUCAGUCUUGCACUACUCAUUAAAACUGAUUAAGUUUUCAAUAGUAAGAAAACAAACAACAUAGGAAAAAGAAGCAAAUGGUUUGACAGGUAGUUUGCCAAACAAGAUAGACGAAUGACAAAUUUAGCACAUGGGAAGGUGUUCAGUAUCAUUAGUCAUUAGGGAAAUGCAAAUCAAGGUGACAGUGCUAUACCACUACACACCUAUUUGAAUGGCUGUAAUUAAAAAGGCUGACCCUUCCAAGUGCUGGCAAGUUUGUGGAGGUUCUAGAACUCUCCUGCCACAUUUAGGUAGCAAUGUAAAAUGGUACAAUCAUUUUGGAAGACAGUUUUGCAGUUUCUUAAAAUGUUAAACAUGCACCUACCAUAGAAUCCAGAUAUUCUGCUCCUAGACAAAAGGAAGCAUAUGUGUAUAUGAAGACUUGUACACACAUGUUUACAGCACUUUUAGAAGUUACAAUUAAAGAUUGACAACAGCCCUAAUGUCCAUUAGUGAGUGGGUGGAUCAACAGAUUGCAGUGUAUCCAUACAGUGGAUAUUUCUCAAUAAUGAAAAGGGGCAAGCUAUUGAUAUAGUCAGCAACAUGGAUGAUUCUGCACUAAGUGAAAGAUGCCAGAAAAGAGUACAUAUGAUUCCUUUUAUAUAAAAUUCUAAAAAAUGAAGAAAUGUAUAAUGACAGUGGCUAUUUGGGAUGGGGAAGGUAGGGGUGGCAAGUGGAAGGGAUUGCAAAGGGGCACAAGGAAAUAUUGGGGCUGGUGGAUAAUUUCACUAUCUCGAUUGUGGUGAUGGUUCCACCGGGGCAAACAUGUGAAAACUUAUCCAGUUGUAUACUUCAAAUAUGUGUAGUUUAGUUACUUUUGUGUUAGGUAUUCCUCAAUUAAAAAUGAGCCAUCAUUUUUAUAAUAGAUGGAGGGUCUAAAAAUGCCCUUAUCUGGCAAAGUAAAAACUUAGCAUCUCUUAGGGGGAAAAAAGAUGAAGUUUAAAUUGUUUGGGGAUAGAAGUAUAACCUAGUACAGAUGAGAAACCAAAGUUAAACUGUGAGCAUAAUGAAUGUCACAGCUUUAGUUCCUCCUGUUUACAAGGCAUUGAAACAAGUGGCUCGGGAAGUAUCUUGUCCAGCAUAGUGGAGCCAGCUGCCUACCUGGUUUAUAAGCAUUUGCACUUAAUCACAGCUACUAUGGCGCUCAUCAUGUGAUAGGGCUAAAGCAUCUGAAGCAGGUUUCAGAUGGCAGAGGUAUGACAUGAAAAUUCCACCUUCAGAUUCUACCACUGUUAGAGAAAGAAAUCGACUUGCAAAGCACAUGAAAACUGAUAAAGUACUUUAUAGUCCCAUUAUAGGCAGGAUCAGUAUUGCCCUCAUUUGCUUGGGGGAGCCAGCUGAAAUCCAGAGAAGACAAGCUGUUUGCAUGGAUCUCAGAGCCACCAUCUUCUUGAGCAGGGGUCACUGUUCCCCUGCUAUACCUUGCUGCUCCUCCAAACUCAUGUCUAUUUAAGUAUUUGGCCAGGACUCUGCUGAUCAAUUUGUCAGGCAGUUACUGGAGUUCUUCCUAUUUGUAUGAGGUGUUCAUGGCAACAAUCUCCUCUAAUCUUGUUUCCCCAUCUUUAAGUGGAUAAUAACACAACCACAGGCUUCACAAGGUUGUAAGGGUCAAAGACUCGCAUGUAAAGGCACCGCUGUGGACAGCAGGUGUUGGCUUUACUAUGUGAUUGCCUUCAGGCCUGAUUGCUGAUGACAUGGUACUGAGUGAGUGGCUCUGUAAAACCAGCAGGUAAACCUGAGAAUUUAAAUCCAUUAGUUGUACCAUGGCUUCCAUCGAGAUUGCCAAGUUUCAUAAUAAAUGAAAUCUUUUGCACCGGAUUAUUUUACUGAUUUAUCUUUCUUUAAAAGGUACUGAACAAUCAUUAGUUGAGUCUCAUUGACUGAAACUGGUAGCUCAGAAGGGAGACAACACAGAGCUAAAGGCAGGUGUAAUCAGGCUUUGCUGAGCCAGGAAGGUUGGCCCAAACCCAGAACACCCUUCCUCCUUGGCUGCAUUGACCGACAUCCCCUUGCUCUUUGUCACUUUGGUCAGUAUCCCUCUCCCUUUUUAUAUUCCUAGUUUGGGGGCAGCUGCCUCAGAAGAAUUCUUGAUCUUGCCACCCAGACUUCUCCCCAGCGGAUAUGAUAAACUGUGUGGGUGCCAGUAGAACUUGUAGGACCCUAGGAUGGCAUUUCACAAAACAUGUUUCCAGGAAGCAGGAAAAAAAUAAGCUCAGGAAAACCUCAUUCAACAACAUUAAUGAGGUUUCUUUCCUAUACAACUUCUCAGAACCUUUUAUGUUUGUAUUGAAACUUCAAGGAUAGCAUAUGAUACAUCUACAACAUUUCCCAAAUUGAAUAGAUUUCAAGAACUGUGCUUUUGUGAAGCAUCUCUUUUCAUACUUCAAAGGCACACUUUGGGAAAUGCUGUUUUAUAAUCUGUUAUUUGAUAUAUUGGUCAAAUUACAAUUUUCCUAAGAGUUCUCUGUCUCCCUACUGGCACAUCUGAAACAAAACAUGACUUGUUUCUUGCCUGGGUCUCAGGAGUUCCAGUUUCUAAACUUUUGGUCUUGAUUUUUAAAUUCAUUCAGGUUUAUUUUAACCUUAGAAAAUCAGGAGAUAGAGUAACAUGAGAGCCCAAAGACUGUAGGGUUUUUUAUCUAAGGAUGAAACUCAGUCGAGGGAAUCCCUACUUUUUUGUUUUAUUUUGUUUUGUUCUUUACCACAUCCUCUAGAUUCUGCCCUUUUAAGUGCUUCCAUUUUUUCCGCCCCUAAUUACAUGGCCCAUCCUGGCUUCCAUAGGGGCAGAUACGAAAAAGUGGUGAUGAACACAAUAGCUCUGUGCCGUCAGUAUGGGGUUUGCGUUAACUACUCAUGAUCCCAGUGGUAGGAUGAGUUUGACUCUCAGCAUAAACAGAACUAUCAUAGAACGGGUUUGUUUUUCACAGUUUGUUCCCAGGACUACGGAAAGUUUAAUAACCAAGAUAGGACUUAACAAGGGAGAUAAUGUCAGAAUGAACAGUAAUCAUCAAAGAAAAUUUUGAACAGUUUCAAUGCUGUACCUUACCUUCUGGGAGCAGAAGAAGAAGCAUGAGGUUAGGAACAUUGAAACGGGAAGGGACCAGGCUGUUCUGGACUUAGAUGAGUUGGGAUCAUUCCUGGCUUGUCAUAUCUACAGAGAAUAUGAUGUUUAGGCAGCCCACAGGCUGGAUACCCCAGGAAAGCUCAGUCUUAUGGGUUCCUCAUUAGACUCUGAGGAUCACUGUUCUUCUAGCGUUGCCAACUUACAUCUAGGGUGUUCUCAUUAGAAGUUGAGGGUUCCCCUUUAUUUUUUAGCUCCUUGCGCCUGGCCAUUUUCCCUAUUUUUUUUUGCCAUUCCUUUUUGACUGAAAAUUACUUCUACAGCAUGUUGCCAUUCAUGCUCUCCCAGACUACUGCCUCCCCACCAUACACACACAUCACACAUAAACAUUUUCUUGUCCUCUUUGAGCCAGUCUUUUCAAGGUAUAAUGUCUUUCAGCACCAAGUAGUUCUUCUGACCUCUUUCUCUGCUCAUACAAAGAGGAACCAGAUUUCCCCUGUGUUACUUACCAUCAAUAUAAACAGCAGUUUUGUUUCUGUUAUUUCCCCUUUCAGCCUAGUGAUAAAAUUGGCCACAGUUGCUCCCCGCACCCUGCACAGGAAGAAAGACUUCCUUCCUUCAUCUCUUGACUUUGCCCAGGCCCAUGAAUAAUCUUCCCUUUCUCUCAUACUCUGGAUGCUCACCUUUUCUAACUGUUUCUUUAAAAUCCUGAGAGUUGAUCCUCUUGUAUCCUUCCCCUCCCAACCUGGUUUUCUCCAUCUGAUAAACUGCCACUUCAACCAGGUAAAUAGAGGACACUCAUGAAGCUUUUGCCUCGCUCAUGAGUGUGUUGGUGUUGUAUCUGGUUGUUGGGCUUCUCUUAUUCCUUUAUUCUCCUUGGCUGUAUUGACUGACAGGACAUCUCUCCUUCUUGCUGUUUGUCCCUUUCAAUGGUCUUCUCUCUUCCUUUUUACAUCCCAGGCUAAUUUUGUGACCAUCUCAAAAAUCUAUCUCCGCUUACCAGCUGAGAGCUUGAUUUUGUGAUAUUUUCCUCUCUGUUAUUUUUUUGAACCUUUUAAUUAGAUUGAUAGUGUUUCUGUAGGCACUUACAUCUGUUCUACAGAACCAUCAAUAAGUUGCCAAAAACCUUCCACCGUAGGCACAUAGUCCAGCAUCAACUAAUAAGGAGAGAAGAAGGGAAGAAAAUGCUGUCAUAAAGACUUUUCAUGGCCCUUGGUUUGUACUAAGUUAUAAACCACCAAAAUACUUGGCUUCCUUUUGAUGAGCUGAAUAACUGGUCAUGAAUCCACUGGGUGGUGACCACCCUGGGAACAAAUAUUUGGUGUGUAGGUUAGCACUGCAUGGUGCUUGCUGUCUUUCUCCCAUUCUUGUAGAAGUUUAAACAUCCAGUCCUCCUGUGUCAUGCAUUUAACACCUAUCAGCAUCUUUCUUUAUAAAUCUCAGUGAACUUUCCCAUUUUCUAUGUGUAAACACAAGUAGUGUCCAUGUCAUGCUGCUCCUCUUUGCUGAAUGCCCUGUGGGUGUUGUAUCUGCUAGGUCACUAGAUAGUAUCAAUAAGUAUGACACACACAUUUAGCUCUCCAUCAUUUCAAGUCAUUUUUAUUAGCUCCUCCAAGUCUUCAUGCUCAGCUUGUUGGCUGUCUCCCUUUCUCUUUCUUUGUGGCAUGAGCCAUUUACACAAACCAUGUACUUUUUAAAAACCAACAUAUUACCAUAUACCUCAUAAUAAUUGAAGCACAAUGUUAGCUUUUGAUAGGUGUCUGUGAUUUUGGGAAGAGGUUUCAUUUGAUUACAGUAUAGCUCACUCAAUAACCUACAUAAGCAAAAAGUUGUGCCAUAGGGAAUGGUCCCAGUAUUCUUUCUUCUAUUCUCCUCCCUUCCCCACAAAUACUGAUUCGAUUGUCUUGAUUUUUUUCAUUUCACUGGAGUAGAAUGUUAAUGUAAAAUGUUAAUGGAAAGGUACCAAAGCACUGUGAUGGGAAGCAACUGAUGUUUAAAAGAUAAAGAAAUACAAGAAUUUUCCUGAAAUAGAGAUAACCCUACUACUCUUUCAUGCAUCUUUGUUUUUUGAAGUGUAUUAGUUCAGGUGCCAGGUACUUCACUCAGAUUUCUUUAUUUGACAAACAUUUACUAGAAGAUUAUGAUGAGCCACUCUACUGUGAUAGUGCCUGGGGAAUCUCAAAAGAAUAGGACUCGGUUCUUAUAGUUAGAGAGUUCAGAUUCUCAUAGGGCAACACGUUUCUAAACAAAGAAGAAUUUGGCUUGUGUUUCUGAUUGAGACACAGUGGAGAGGGAGCUGGCCCUGAGAGGCAUGCAACUAACUUUCCAGAGGACUCCAGGAAGGCUCCUUAGUAUCCUAGAAGAGUCUCUAAGCCAGGCCCUGCAGAAGGGGAAAAGGAGCUGGGCAAGCACUGUGAGAGACCAAAUAUUUGCUCUGUCUCUAAUUUACGAGCUGAGUGAAACUUGAUGGGAAGAGUUAUGGAAGAAAAAAACAAAAGAAUUUUGUACCAUGAGAACAUUCAGUGACAGAAGGAGUUUUGGAGAGUGGUGAAAGCAGAGGCUUGGUAGAGAUUUGAGUAUAAAUGGAACCUGUACUGUUAGGUGUAUGUGAUGGCAAUGCCUUUAGAAAAUAGCACAAUGCUUAUGAAUGAGACCAAAUUUAGAAAGACCUCCAUAAAUAAUAUAGAGUAGUAAUGGCUUACUUGUGAUUAAAUAAAGGUCUAAGUCAGGAAUUCUUGACAGAACUGAUUGGUGUUUCUAUUUACAGGUUCAGAAAACAGUCCCCUUAUUUUGAUACUCAUGUUGUUACUGAUGAUUGAUAGAAUGCGAAUUUUUUACUUCCAUUUUUUUCAAUAAUAGUUCAUCACCUGCACACUGAUGACAUUGCAUGAAGAGAAUUUGGGGGUUUCUUUCAGAGAGGGAAAGAAUGACAGAAUAUUUGCAUGUGGAUUUGGUGCAUUUAAUUUCUGGAAACUGUCCAUAAAAAGAAUGUUACUUAGGUGAAAACCAUCUUUUCUCUAAGUGUUUUUAGUGAGUAAAAUGAUUCAUGUUUCAUCCAAUGAUUGUUUUAAAAAAGUUUGGUUUUUGUUGAGCAGGAUUAAAGGCAUAUGCCUGAUUGCUAAAUACUAUUUUUUUUAAGAACUAGUCUGAGUCUGUCUUUAUGGGCUAUGAGCGGUUUUACCUUUAGAAGCGUGUUUUAGGAUCUUGUGCCAACCCCGUCCCUUCCCAGGCCUGUUCAGACUAGAAAUAUCUGGCAGGGAAUGUUGUCUGUUUUAAAAAAUGUCUUGUGCACUAACGCCUCCAAAAAUGUUCACCUUAACCUUUAAGUUGACUUGCAGAGCAAUUUACUAAACAGAGUGAUGUGAGAAUCAAGUGACCAUCAGCUGGUAUAAAUGUUUUUGGUCGGUGUGGUCACAGGAUCUCAGGUAUGCAAGAGUUGGAUGGGCUGUGGCCACGUGCUGGUCAUGGUGAGACCCAGGCUCAGAUACUUUUAACAUAACACAAAAGGAAUCUGAACAAGAAUGUAUUUUAGACACCUGUAUUUAAAAGUUGGUUUUUCCUCUGGCAUAAGUUCACCCCAUGGCACACUGUGUGUAUAUAUGUGCAUUUCUUUCCUGGACUAUAGUUAGAGUUAACAAGAUUUUUUGUUCUUAGCCAUGUUGGAGGUAGUUUGUAUGUUAGUUGCAUGAUUUUUUGUAAACAACUUUAUUGACGUAUAAUUGAUAUAUAAAGAACUGCAGAUGUUUAAUGUGUACAAUCUAAUGAGUUUGGACAUAUGCAAACAUGCAUGAUACCAUCACCACAGUCAAGAUGGCAGACGUAUCCAACACCUCCCAAAGUUUCCUUGUGUGUGUGUGUGUGUAACAUUUAGCAUGAGAUCUGCCCAUGAGAGGGAAGUGGUUUUUGUUCACUUCAAAGAUAAACGCUUUGUUAGAAUAGCAUACUGGCGUGUAUUCUGUUAAAUCCAUAAAUGUGUUUUAGAAGUUGACUACAGUCCUAUUUAGUUACAGAAGGAUGUUGACACGUCUACUAAAAUAUGUGAAAUGUCAUGGAUGGGCAUUGGAGGGGACAUCUAGAGCCAAACUUGACAAUUUUGACUUGGUAAAGUUAACAUUCUGUCAAUCCUGUGAAAUCGUUUGUUCCUCUUCAUUUACUUUCACAUACAGUACUUGGGGGGCAAAAUUUCUUUCCAAAAUUCUAUGAUUUCUAAAGUUAUGGAUACUUCUGGGGGGCAAAAUAGAAUUGCAUGUAAUCCCUUUAAAGACUAGGGUAAGUUUACUCUUCCUUAGGUUGAAAGACCCACAAAGCAGCAUUUUGUUCUUUUCUAGUGAAACUUUGAUGAGAAUGCCAUUUCCUAUCUGUCAUCUUGGUAUCAAACAUCAGUGGGAUUCGUUGCUUUUUGGUUUGGUUUACAGGUCGCCCCUGUCCUAAUUCUGGAGGGUAAGCUCUUCACAUUCUAGGUUACCAUUUCAAGAAAAGGUCUUUAUUCACAAUUCCAAGCAGGCUUUCCAACAGCAGGGGGCAGGCUUAACUUUUUAUCAAUCUUCCUCUCCUCAAACUCUCUUUUCCAUUAUGCCUACCUCAAAUGAAUGUUCUUUAGCCAGAAUGGUUAGAGUUUUUUGGUUAUUAUUGUCUUUCUGUUGUUUGUUUGUGCUAUGAAUAGGACUUGAGCACAGGUACCUUUGUUACAAUUUUGUCACCUGCCCCUGGGUGUUAGUUGUCUUCUAAAUUGUUAGAUGAUAGAAUUAAAUAAUACCAUACUUUUAGUUAGGCCCUAUUUCUUUUCUUCAACUUUCAUUUAUAAACUUCGAAAGUGUAUUAUUGGUUAACAGUCUAUGCUAUAGUAUAUUCCUUAUAUAUUCUAGUGUCUAUGUUUCAAUAAACUUUUAAAAUAUGUAUUAUUGGUUAGUGGUCAACAUACGGAAUAGGCUUUAAUAAAAAUUUCAUUUACAGGCUUUCCUUUUUGUAUUGCCUAGACAAAUGUACAGGUCAGGGAAAAUUCCAUCUUAAUUUUAUAGUAAUUUAGAUUUAGGAGGAUUUGGAGGUUAGGUAGGGCAAGGUUGAAGAAUGAAAAAUACCAUUCUACUGAUCUAAAUACAGAGGAUUUUGACAUUAACAGUAACCAAAGUAAACCCUUGCCUUGUUUAACUGUUAGUCAUAAAAGUAGAGCUAUGAACAUUUAGUUUUAGUGGUUUAUAAAAUGUAAAUUCAUGUAUUCUCAAAAUGCUUUAUUUUCUGUUGAGGGCAAGAUUUAGCAAAACCCAUACAAGCAUUCUUUUUUUCCCAGUUUGGUAUGGAGUAGGCUCUAGUUUUUAGGCAGUGUCAAAAUACACUUCAUAGAUGGACUUGGUUUCAAUUUAUUUAAAAAAAAACAAUCCAACAAAAACCUACUUCACCUUGUAAAUUCCACCUUUUUCAUCCCGUAAGAGCUGACUGCCUGGUGGUGAAACACUAUUAUUAAGACUUGGCGAGUGUGUUCCCUCUUAUAAUUAGACAUCUGUGAUUAAAUCAUUCCCUUGAAAUUUAUGUACUUAGAGCUCCCAGAAAGUCAACCAUCUUUUCUUAUAGCUGGCACAUUUUUUAAAGCUACUUUUCUUGGCAAUAAAUAUUUGAAUGUCAUUCUGUGGUCCAGCUGCAUGUCCAGUGAAAGUGUCCUAAUUUACAGUUAUAAAAUACAGCCUUUCUUCCAAUUGAUGAUAAGUUCCCUAAAACUUUUCUAAGUGAUAUCCAAAGCCUUUUAAAUUCAUGUGCAAGUAGGAUUCCAAAAUGUAUGUACUUGGAGCAAAAUCACAUAGCUGUUUACAUUCUAGAAUAAUCCUAAAAGUUGAAAACAAUAAUUGGCCACAGUGGUCAUGUGCUAAUAGAAGAAUGCCUCCAAGAUACCAGGCUUUUUUCUGCUCUCUGGCCUUGGUCCUGACUCUUGCCUCUGUCCGCGGUGUUCUUUCUUAUCCAGCAUGUGCACAGUCCUCCUCCUCCAGGGAUCUGCUCAGAUGUCACACCUGCAAUGAAGCUUUCACUGACUUCCUUAUGGAAAUUUCAUUCCUCAUCAGUGUCACAUUACUCUGUGAAAUGACCAUGCAUAUCUAUUGAAUUUCUUUUUUGCCUAAGGUGUGGGUAAUACCUUAAAUCUCAGAUUCUCGGGAACUUCAUUUAGUGUCAUAUCCCCAGUGCCUGGCUAAAGUAUGGAGAAGGCACUCAGUAGGCAUUUCUGGAGUGAAUGAAUGAAUGAGUGAAUCAGUGGGGAGGACACCUGUGUUGUAACUUCUUUUAUACCUAUGUUAUACUAUCCAGGCUAGUUUGGAACUGACAUAUUGGUGAGCUUUGACUUUACAUACUUUGUGACUUUUUUUUGCAGUUUCUUUUGGUGUUUUAGACGUUUUGUAAAAAUAACUGUAUCAUCCUUAAUUUAUAGCAGGAAGCAAUUUUUUUUGCUCUAAUUCAUUUUACAUAUGUGCAUCAGUGCUAGGUUACCCAAAUUAAAGUGGCAUAAAGCAAACAAAUGCCCCCAAGGCCACAAUAAAAUGGUGGGUUUUGUUUUUUUUUUGUUCGCUUGCUUGUUUUGUGUGUGUGUGUGUGUGUAUUACACUUCACUGCAAAAGCAUGCCAAAUAAUCACUUGUAGAUUUUCUCAGAAACAAUCAUCUGUGCUCCAGAGGGGCAGGGGUUUUCAUCUUUUUUGUUCACUGCUGGAUCUCUAGCACCUGAGAGAGUAUCUGACCCUUUACUCAAUAUCACUCAAUCAUUAUAUGUUGAAUAAGUAAAUAAAUCUAGGGGAUGUUUUAAACUGCAUGCAUGGGGUUAUUGUCAGAAUUUCAAUAAAGCAAAUAUGUAAUUGAAAUCUCUUGAUACCAUUUCCAGAUAAGUUUCCAGGAUUGAUGUCUUUUCUUUCUUCCACAGCACCCCUCCCAGAAGACUGGAUUAUCUAGAUGCUGGAAU